rnacentral:rRNA from 1 species
GAUAAACGACUGGCGGCGUGCUUAACACAUUCAAGUCGAACGGAGUAUGUUUGGUAAGCUUGCUUUUGGUACAUACUUAGUGGCGGACGGGUGAGUAAAUGCAUGAGCAACCUGCCUUCAAGAGGGGGAGUAACACAUGGAAACGUGUGCUAAUACCGCAUAGACGUACGGACGGCAUCGUAUGUACGGGAAAGGAGCAAUCCGCUUGAAGAUGGGCUCAUGUCCGAUUAGGUUGUUGGU